GACGAACGCUGGCGGCGUGCUUAACACAUGCAAGUCGAACGGAAAGGCCCUGCUCUUGUGGGGUGCUCGAGUGGCGCAAGCGUGUGUGACACGUGUGUAUCCUCCCCUUGACUUUGGGAUAACUCCAGGAGACUGGGGCUAAUACCCGGUAGAAGCUCCUGCUGCAUGGUGGUGGAUGGAAAGUUUCGGCGGUUGGGGAUGGACUGGCGGCUUAUCAGCUUGUUGGUGGGGUAGUGGCUUACCAAGGCUUUGACGGGUAGCCGGCCUGAGCGGGUGACCGGGGACAUUGGGACUGAGAGAGGGCGCAGACGCCUACGGGAGGCAGCGGUGGGGAGUAUGGCGCAGUGGGGGGAAGCGUGAGGCAGCAACGCCGCGUGCGUGAUGCCGGGCUGCGAGUUGUAAACCGCUUUCGCCUGUGAUGAAGCGGGCGUGACGGUAAUGGGUAAAGAAGCACCGGCUAACUACGUG
rnacentral:rRNA from 1 species